rnacentral:misc_RNA from 1 species
AAGUCGUAACAAGGUUUCCGUAGGUGAACCUGCGGAAGGAUCAUUAAAGAAAUUUAAUAAUCUGGGAGACAAGUUCUGUUUUAAGAGGGAGCUUAGUGAAUGUAGAUGCAUUGAGACCAGCGCUUAAUUGCGCGGUCUGUUUGCGGUGCUACAGGAUCUGUGCUUAUUCCAAACCUUUUUUUAACAAGAGUGUCUUUCUAAAUUUACACACUGUGGAGUAUUUUCUACUUUUACAUUUUUAUUUUGGGGACUGCUUUCGAGUGUCCCAAAAGACAAACACAAACAAUUUUGUAAUAUUAUUACUUAGUCAUGCAACUGUUUUAAUUACAGAAACCAAAAUAUUCAAAA